GAUGAACGCUGGCGGCGUGCCUAAUACAUGCAAGUCGAGCGAACAGACGAGGAGCUUGCUCCUCUGACGUUAGCGGCGGACGGGUGAGUAACACCUGGAUAACCUACCUAUAAGACUGGGAUAACUUCGGGAAACCGGAGCUAAUACCGGAUAAUAUAUUGAACCGCAUGGUUCAAUAGUGAAAGACGGUUUUGCUGUCACUUAUAGAUGGAUCCGCGCCGCAUUAGCUAGUUGGUAAGGUAACGGCUUACCAAGGCAACGAUGCGUAGCCGACCUGAGAGGGUGAUCGGCCACACUGGAACUGAGACACGGUCCAGACUCCUACGGGAGGCAGCAGUAGGGAAUCUUCCGCAAUGGGCGAAAGCCUGACGGAGCAACGCCGCGUGAGUGAUGAAGGUCUUCGGAUCGUAAAACUCUGUUAUUAGGGAAGAACAAAUGUGUAAGUAACUAUGCACGUCUUGACGGUACCUAAUCAGAAAGCCACGGCUAACUACGUG
rnacentral:rRNA from 1 species